AUAUUUUCACUUUUCCCACUUCGUGAGCGCGAGUGAUCUAUCUCUUCUACGCAGAUAUAAAAUUUCUAUUUCCGUUUUAUCCCGUACAAGCUAUUUCAUCCAAACAAUUGUUAGAUUAUAAAAAUUUCACGUUCCAUCAGUAAUUGGAAGGAAUAUAAAAAAUUUGGAGAAAAAUUAAAAACGUGAAUUAAAAAAUAAUGGAAGACAUUGUAAAAGAAUGUAAUUGCACUGAAGAUUGUCACAGCAAAAGUGAAUACCCGGGCAUCUACAUGAAAUAAAGCUGUCAAUAUUUUGAACAAAAUGUUAAAUUUAUUGAACGCUGUUUAAAAGAGCGAGCCGACUUUAAAUCUAAACCUCAAGAUGAUCCAAAAGUACAGUCCGAAUUGAAAACUAACAAUUCCUUAAUCGGAUCAAGUAUCCAGGCGAUGUAUAGAUAUCGUUUACUGUUAGAUGAAUGUACUUAUGCCAAUCAGUAUCUCAAGAAUACGGAUUAUGGAAAAAAAUACAUGGACUUGAAGAAAAAUUCUAAAAUUGCGAAUAAAGUAAUGAGUUUAGGUGUUGAAAAUUUGCUAGAGAUGUACAAAGAUCCUGGUCAUUUUAUUGAUACAAAUUUACACUAGUAAAUAAUUAUUAUAAUUAUCAACCUAUCAUUCAAAUUGAUAUAAUAUUGAUAAAAUCUUGUGAACUUGUAAUGUAAAGCUUACAUUGAUUAUUCUGAAUUAUUUAUUUAAUUGCAUUUACUUAUUUCAAUCAAUUAAACAUAAUAGAUACAUAUUUAUUGUA